rnacentral:rRNA from 1 species
UGGGGAAUUUUGGACAAUGGGCGAAAGCCUGAUCCAGCAAUGCCGCGUGUGUGAAGAAGGCCUUCGGGUUGUAAAGCACUUUUGUCCGGAAAGAAAUCCUUGGCUCUAAUACAGUCGGGGGAUGACGGUACCGGAAGAAUAAGCACCGGCUAACUACGUGCCAGCAGCCGCGGUAAUACGUAGGGUGCAAGCGUUAAUCGGAAUUACUGGGCGUAAAGCGUGCGCAGGCGGUUUGCUAAGACCGAUGUGAAAUCCCCGGGCUUAACCUGGGAACUGCAUUCGUGACUGCAAGGCUAGAGUAUGGCAGAGGGGGGUAGAAUUCCACGUGUAGCAGUGAAAUGCGUAGAGAUGUGGAGGAAUACCGAUGGCGAAGGCAGCCCCCUGGGCCAAUACUGACGCUCAUGCACGAAAGCGUGGGGAGCAAACAGGAUUAGAUACCCUGGUAGUCCACGCCCUAAACGAUGUCAACUAGUUGUUGGGGAUUCAUUUCCUUAGUAACGUAGCUAACGCGUGAAGUUGACCGCCUGGGGAGUACGGUCGCAAGAUUAAAACUCAAAGGAAUUGACGGGGUCAUAGCUGUUUCCU